AGGGCAGUGCCGCUCUGCUCAGAGAUGCAGCUAAGUGGUGUGGCUGGGGUGGCAGAGGGGCCCACGGCGGCUCUAGAAACCCUAAGAAGCCCCGAGGGGGACAGGAGUGGGUGGUUGGAUGGAGCACUAGUGAGCGAGGGCUUGGAACGGAGCAGGGGCCAGGGGAGUCUGACUUCUUCACAAAGGACGCGGCCUUCCCUCUCUGCCUUCCUCCUUGUCUCGUUUUGAUUGUUUCUUGUAGUUACCAUCUUUUCCAGGCAAGGAAGAAGGCCAUGAGUCCGUCCAUAGUGGUCUGGAUGUCACUGGACUCCCUGGGUCUUACUGGCUCUUGCUAAGAGCAACUGAAGCCUCAGAAUCCAACAAAACCCCAGCCCGGAGCAGGAGCAGGAGGAGUGUGAGGCAGAGGGCGGAGCCUUGAAGCACCCUCCCCCAUAGCUUCUUCACUAUUCGCCCCAGAAGCGAGUCCGGGUACUUAGUGUAGAAGGAGGAGGGCUUGGGCAGGUUGCAUAAGUUUUGCUUCCACUCUGGGCCCCUUAACUGCUCCUUGUGCGGCAUAGGCAAGCACGGUGAUUUCUCUGGUUCCCUCGUCUGCAAACUGUGAGUAGUGAGCGGACUGGUUACCUAACGCUGCAGAAGGAACUCCUCGACACUCAGCAGCUGAAACUCACACACAGUGGUUACCUUAAUUCCUGGGGGCUGGGGUUCGGGCCCAACUCAGGCAAGCCCCUGCUGGACUCUCACCGAGCUGCUGCCCCAGUAGAAGGCCACACGGGAGAAGAGUCCAUAGGACUCAGCUUCUCAAAGGCUGUGAGACACAAGCCAUCAUGCCGAGUCCCUCAGAGGGCCCAGGAGAGGACCGAAGGACAUGAGGACCCUUGGCAACCAGAACACAGUGCUACUGGUUUUUUAGGGAACUGCUAAAAAUUGCCAGAGGGCUUAGCCUGGAGCUGGUGCCUGGCACCUGCUCAGUACACCGAUGUCCUUGUGAGAAAGCCAGGCUGGACCAAGACAAAACAGAAACCAAGGCUGCUCGCCAGUUCUACCUGUUGGCUCAACGCCCCUGGGAGAGUCCACAUGCCACUUCUCUAUCUCCAAUCUGGUCCAGCCCCUCCCCCUCCCUUGAACCCCACUGAACAUCACCUUUUUUCUUUCACCCUAGACAGGUCUACAGCGUUUUGAAGUUUACAGAUUUCUUAGAAAUGACAACGAAGGGUGUGGCUCAAGAUGUGAGCUCUCAGCUGCUGCCCCAGAUGCCUGCCAUCUGUUAUCCUGGUUCUGCUGCCGCGGACUCUGAUCCUCUGGAACUGUAAACUCCAAAUAAACUUUUUUAAAAAUA